UACGUAGGUGGCAAGCGUUGUCCGGAUUUACUGGGCGUAAAGCGUGCGCAGGCGGUUUUGUAAGCCCGAUGUGAAAUCCCCGGGCUUAACCUGGGAAUGGCAUUUGGGACUGCAAGGCUCGAGUGCGGCAGAGGAGACUGGAAUUCCUGGUGUAGCAGUGAAAUGCGUAGAUAUCAGGAGGAACACCGAUGGCGAAGGCAGGUCUCUGGGCUGACACUGACGCUCAUGCACGAAAGCGUGGGGAGCAAACAGG
rnacentral:rRNA from 1 species